rnacentral:rRNA from 1 species
UACAGAGGGUGCGAGCGUUAAUCGGAAUUACUGGGCGUAAAGCGCGCGUAGGCGGCUUUGCAAGUCGGGUGUGAAAUCCCCAGGCUUAACCUGGGAACUGCAUUCGAGACUGCAUUGCUAGAGUAUGGGAGAGGGAAGUGGAAUUUCCGGUGUAGCGGUGAAAUGCGUAGAUAUCGGAAGGAACAUCAGUGGCGAAAGCGACUUCCUGGACCGGUAUUGACGCUGAGGCGCGAAAGCUAGGGGAGCAAACGGG